AAAUUGAAGAGUUUGAUCAUGGCUCAGAUUGAACGCUGGCGGCAGGCCUAACACAUGCAAGUCGAACGGUAGCACAGAGAGCUUGCUCUCGGGUGACGAGUGGCGGACGGGUGAGUAAUGUCUGGGAAACUGCCUGAUGGAGGGGGAUAACUACUGGAAACGGUGGCUAAUACCGCAUAACGUCGCAAGACCAAAGAGGGGGACCUUCGGGCCUCUUGCCAUCAGAUGUGCCCAGAUGGGAUUAGCUGGUUGGUGAGGUAACGGCUCACCAAGGCGACGAUCCCUAGCUGGUCUGAGAGGAUGACC
rnacentral:rRNA from 1 species